rnacentral:rRNA from 1 species
ACACUAGAAAGACAAUUUUAUAUUAUUAAUUAAAACUUAAUCCUAAUGAAAAGUUUAGGAUUAAAUUUUUAGACGAUAAGACCCUAUGAAGCUUUAUUAACUAUAAUUUUUUUGGGGAAAACCAUAAUUUAUUUAUUACUUUCUAGGGGUAUGCUGAUCUUUAAAGAAAUAUAAGAAAAAGCUACUCUAGGGAUAACAGCAUAAUUUUUAUUAAAGCCCACAUUAAAAUAAAAGAUUGUGACCUCGAUGUUGAAUUAAGAAAAUUAAUUUGUGCAGCCGCUAAUUAAUCGUAGUCUGUUCGACUAAUAUUAUCUUACAUGAUCUGAGUUCAAACCGGA